AAGACUGUGCUUCAUAGGAUCAUUUCUAUAGGCAAGUUUUCAUAGCUACUUUCUCAAAAGUAGAGCUGAACUAACCCACGAUGAUGAGUCGUAGUGGCUGUCCUGGAGCGUGAAGUUGCCGGAUCUCGGCUGUGCCUCUGGUGCGUCGAUCUGUGCUUGAUGAUCGUAUCCUUUAAAAAGGACAGACACAUUCUGAGUGGU